UGAAAUGAAACAGUUUUACUGAAACAAAAUGAGUUUCAUUUUGUUUCAGUAAAACAAAAUGAAACUCAUUUUGUUUCAGUAAAACUGUUUCAUUCA
rnacentral:pre_miRNA from 1 species